UAGGUUUCUCUAAGUCAAACUUCCUCAAGUUUGACCAAGUUUAUAGGAAAAAUUAUUGAUAUCCACAAAAUCAAAUAUAUAUAGUAUGAAGUUAUAUUUAUGAUUAAUUAAUUGAAACUAAUUUGGCAUUGUGGGUGUUGGUAUAUUUUUCUGUAGACUUGGUCAAACAUAAAGAAGUUUGACUUAUAAACCUAGAAAUUCAA
rfam:Triticum urartu cultivar G1812 contig493645, whole genome shotgun sequence.